rnacentral:rRNA from 1 species
UACGGAGGGUGCAAGCAUUAAUCGGAAUUAUUGGGCGUAAAGGGCGCGUAGGCGGAUAUAUAAGUCAGAUGUGAAAUUCCGAGGCUCAACUUCGGAGCUGCAUUUGAAACUAUAAAUCUCGAGGAUUGGCGGAGAGAACGGAAUUCCACGUGUAGCGGUGAAAUGCGUAGAUAUGUGGAAGAACACCUGUGGCGAAAGCGGUUCUCUAGCUUAUUCCUGACGCUGAGGCGCGAGAGCAAGGGGAG